CUGCCUGGUAGUGGGGGACAACGUUUCGAAAGGAACGCUAAUACCGCAUACGUCCUACGGGAGAAAGCAGGGGACCUUCGGGCCUUGCGCUAUCAGAUGAGCCUAGGUCGGAUUAGCUAGUUGGUGAGGUAAUGGCUCACCAAGGCGACGAUCCGUAACUGGUCUGAGAGGAUGAUCAGUCACACUGGAACUGAGACACGGUCCAGACUCCUACGGGAGGCAGCAGUGGGGAAUAUUGGACAAUGGGCGAAAGCCUGAUCCAGCCAUGCCGCGUGUGUGAAGAAGGUCUUCGGAUUGUAAAGCACUUUAAGUUGGGAGGAAGGGCAGUAAAUUAAUACUUUGCUGUUUUGACGUUACCGACAGAAUAAGCACCGGCUAACUCUGUGCCAGCAGCCGCGGUAAUACAGAGGGUGCAAGCGUUAAUCGGAAUUACUGGGCGUAAAGCGCGCGUAGGUGGUUCGUUAAGUUGGAUGUGAAAUCCCCGGGCUCAACCUGGGAACUGCAUUCAAAACUGUCGAGCUAGAGUAUGGUAGAGGGUGGUGGAAUUUCCUGUGUAGCGGUGAAAUGCGUAGAUAUAGGA
rnacentral:rRNA from 1 species